rnacentral:rRNA from 1 species
UCUAACAGCAAAAGGGUAAUACCUCCUGAGAAACCCUUAUUCUUUGGCGGCCUCUACUCUUCUCAAAGGAACUUGUUAACUAAUCGAAACUACCCGUUAAAUCUAACUAUUCAUCAGCCUUUAUACCGUCGUCUUAAGAGCCAAUUUAAACAUUAUUCUCAAAAUAGGACUACCUUCCAAGUCAGAUCAAGGUGAAGCUCAUUGAAUAGACCUAAUGAGUUAUUCAUGAAAAAUAUUUAAGGACUUUGCAACAAAUUACAAUCGAAUCAAGAUUUGAAAGUACUCUUUUAAUUAUAACUUUAGGAGGAAAAAGUAAAUAGAGGUGU